rnacentral:rRNA from 1 species
UACGUAGGGGGCUAGCGUUGUCCGGAAUCAUUGGGCGUAAAGCGCGUGUAGGCGGCCCGGUAAGUCCGCUGUGAAAGUCGGGGGCUCAACCCUCGAAAGCCGGUGGAUACUGCCGGACUAGAGUUCGGAAGAGGCGAGUGGAAUUCCCGGUGUAGCGGUGAAAUGCGUAGAUAUCGUAAGGAAGACCAGUGGCGAAGGCGGGUCACUGGCCCGAUACUGACGCUGAGGUGCGAAAGCGUGGGGAGCAAACAGG